rnacentral:rRNA from 1 species
AUUGAACGCUGGCGGCAGGCUUAACACAUGCAAGUCGAGCGGGGAAAUAUAGCUUGCUAUAUGACCUAGCGGCGGACGGGUGGGUAAUGCUUAGGAAUCUGCCUAUUAGUGGGGGACAACAUUUCGAAAGGGAUGCUAAUACCGCAUACGCCCUACGGGGGAAAGCAGGGGAUCAUUUGACCUUGCGCUAAUAGAUGAGCCUAAGUCGGAUUAGCUAGUUGGUGGGGUAAAGGCCUACCAAGGCGACGAUCUGUAGCGGGUCUGGGAGGAUGGUCCGCCACACUGGGACUGAGACACGGCCCAGACUCCUACGGGAGGCAGCAGUGGGGAAUAUUGGACAAUGGGGGGAACCCUGAUCCAGCCAUGCCGCGUGUGUGAAGAAGGCCUUUUGGUUGUAAAGCACUUUAAGCGAGGAGGAGGCUCCUGUAGAUAAUACCUACAGUGAGUGGACGUUACUCGCAGAAUAAGCACCGGCUAACUCUGUGCCAGCCGCCGCAGUAA